CAUAUACUCCCUCCGUUCGGAAUUACUUGUCGCGAAAAUGAAUGUAUCUAGAUGUAUUUUAGUUUUAGAUACAUCCAUUUUGACAAGUAAUUCGGAACGGAGGGAGUAGUAU
rfam:Triticum aestivum genome assembly, contig: Triticum_aestivum_CS42_TGACv1_scaffold_032571_1BL